rnacentral:rRNA from 1 species
UGGGGAAUCUUGCGCAAUGGGCGAAAGCCUGACGCAGCCAUGCCGCGUGAAUGAUGAAGGUCUUAGGAUUGUAAAAUUCUUUCAGCGGGGACGAUAAUGACGGUACCCGCAGAAGAAGCCCCGGCUAACUUCGUGCCAGCAGCCGCGGUAAUACGAAGGGGGCUAGCGUUGCUCGGAUUUACUGGGCGUAAAGGGCGCGUAGGCGGAUUGACAAGUUGGGGGUGAAAGCCCGGGGCUCAACCUCGGAAUUGCCUUCAAAACUGUCAGUCUUGAGUUCGGGAGAGGUGAGUGGAACUCCGAGUGUAGAGGUGAAAUUCGUAGAUAUUCGGAAGAACACCAGUGGCGAAGGCGACUCACUGGCCCGAUACUGACGCUGAGGCGCGAAAGCGUGGGGAGCAAACAGGAUUAGAUACCCUGGUAGUCCACGCUGUAAACGAUGAGUGCUAGUUGUCGGCAGGCAUGCCUGUCGGUGACGCAGCUAACGCAUUAAGCACUCCGCCUGGGGGAGUACGGUCGCAAGAUU